rnacentral:rRNA from 1 species
UACGAAGGGGGCUAGCGUUGCUCGGAAUCACUGGGCGUAAAGGGCGCGCAGGCGGCCGAUCAAGUCAGAUGUGAAAGCCCCGGGCUCAACCUGGGAAUAGCAUUUGGGACUGGUCGGCUAGAGUUCGGGAGAGGAGAGUGGAAUUCCCAGUGUAGAGGUGAAAUUCGUAGAUAUUGGGAAGAACACCGGCGGCGAAGGCGGCUCACUGGCCAUAUACUGACGCUGAAACACGAAAGCGUGGGUAGCAAACAGG